UGCAUGAAGUCGAACGCACCCAUCAGCUACGAAGAGACAGAAAAGUUUGGCAUAAAAACAAAAUCAGAUAAUGUAAUGAAAGUGGAUGUAUCAUCUAUAACCUGCUAAGGAUGUGGGAAUCGCGGUCAUAUUGCGAGAGAGUGCCGCCAAAAAGGAACCAGUAACUGGUGCAGCUAUCAUAGAAGCUCAACGCACAACGAGGAGAAAAACCAAGUACAAAGACAAUGCGAAACAAACUGCGGAGAGACAAACAUUUGUACUUAAGGUUCGUCAACACUUUCCCACAAACAGUAUCAAAGGAAAUGGACUGAUGGUAGAUUGUGGAGCGACAUUCCAUAUCACAACAGAGAAAAGUAAAUUCACAAGAUUCGAUGAGACUUUUAAUCCAAAAUCACACUGCAUGGAACUAGCAGAUGGGACCAGGACAAACAGUGUGGCGUGGAAAUGUGGUGACGUGGAGGUAUUUCUUCAGGACUCAGAAGGAAAAAUAGCCAAAAUCAUGCUGUGGAAGGCCUUAUUCAUACUGACAUAUCCACAAAACAUAAUCUCUGUAAAAGCAAUCUCAACUGAUGGAGCCAGAAUGAUCUUUCAGGAAGGACAAAAUGAACUUGUACUUAAAAGAUGGAACCACUUUCCACAUAGAGAAACAAGAAAGGCUGUACUAUCUGAAAACGGGCAGUAUACGGAAUUCCUCAAACCUAUAAAGAAUCCUUGAUGUCACCCGAAGGACCCAAAUGGGAGUGCGCGAUGAGGGAAGAACUCGACUCGCUUAAGGAAGAUGCUACAUUUGAGCUGACUUCUUUACCAGAGGGUAGGAAUGUAGUUGGGGGUAGAUGGGUCUAUGCCAUUGAAGAAAAUGUUGGAGGAGAAAAGAUCUUUAAAGCUAGAUACGUUGCUAAGGGUUACAGUCAGAGAGAAGGUAUAGACUACCAUGAGACGUUUGCCCCGACAGCAAACCUUAUUCAGUACGAGCACUGAUGCAGAUAACAGGGCAAAACAACUUAAUUGUUCAUCAGAUGGAUGUCAAAACAGCAUACUUACAUGCUCAACUUGAUACAGAAAAUUUUGUAGAACAACCAGAACCGUCCCUAUAUGGCCUUAAACAAUCCGGAAGAAAUUGGUACAAACUAUUACAUGAUUACCUAGAACAAAAUAAUUUAGUGAGAAAUGCAUCUGACCACUGUGUGUAUAGAAAAUAAUUAGGCAGUGAGGCCAUUGUUCUGAUCAUCUGGGUUGACGAUUUAAUCAUAGCAGCUAGCAAUAACCAUUUGCUGAACAAAUUCAAAAACACCAUGAAGUCUCAAUUUAACAUGAAUGCCCACAGCAUAUAUUAUAGAUGCAUUUUAUUCAUGGUUAUUUUAUGCUGUUUUCAUCUUUGCAAUUGUCUUUAUUUUUCUGGCGGUUCCUUUAAAGUAUUAUGUUUUUGAAAAAAAAGAUUUAAGGGAAAUCUUGUGUUGCAUUUAUGUAUUAUGUAACACUAUCAAAUAUUUUAACAAAUCCAUGAUACUGCUAAAAACAAAAAAAAUAAUGAAAUAUAUUGACCUAUAAGCACUGCAUGAUUACAUAUGGGCCAGCUGCAUGUUUUCCCACAUGGGACCAAUGUUUUGGGGCCAAUCUCAGGCCAAUGUGCAAAUCCCAAUUGGGCCAAUGUGGACUGCCCACUUGGGGCCAAUAUUUCUGCCCACAUUGGGCCUAGUGCCAGUUUGUUUGCUGGGUUGUAUUAAGUUACAUGCGUAAUACGUCACGAUUUGUGCUUACGGGCCAUUUUACCAGGGAAUGUCGGAGACGUCCAUCGCACAGAUGCAUAAAGUUCUGUAUAUCUUUUCAAUGUUAAAGAACGUUUCAUAUAAACUAAAUGUAUAGCGAGGGCUCAGGACUAUGAAAAGCUGUGUUUUGUUCAGGCAAAUGGGACCGAGGCAUUUCUUCAUAUCAUUUAAAGGAAGUAAUCUAGCACACAGUCAACCAUAAAGUGUAAAUACAGGUGCAAUGAGGCGCCGUAACACUUUCUUAGAUUAUCAUAAUGCGUGAAUUGCCAGCUUUUUCUUACAGUAGCGUGCCGAACAAACUCAAAGAAACUGUUAUUUAGAUAUACACUCAAAAAAUACAAACGGGACCAGCGACUGCGACGCACAUGACAAUGCAACGUCAAGUUCACCGGUCGGUUCUCCCAUUUACACAAGCUCAGUGGCAGGGCCGGCGUCAGAGCGGAUCUACUGGCUGGCAUCAAACUGACUAUGGGGGGGCACUAUCGAUCUUGAACUAUAUUCAUAUGAGCGACACUAGAGGUUGACAAUUUUUCGUGACUCCCGUGGGUCACGGGAUUCCCAGCGAUGUUAACGUUAGCUGCCAUGAACAACAAAAAAAGACCCAGACAAGCGGUCAGUCAUCAUAACAGCCCCCUACACUGUCAUGCCAACCUUAUAAUCACAGGACUAAUGAAAAGUAAACAAGCACCUUUCAUAUGCAUCCCUUGUGAUGCAUAAAACACAAACGCAGCGCAAUGUUUCGUUCAGAUUGAACGCAGGAACAGCUUAUCGUUGAUUAGGCUAUAUACUGUAUAUAUAUUAGUAACAUGCUGUCAGACUGGGAGACAUAAGCCUAUUCUCAGUUUCUUCUGAUCCGAGUACAAUUUGUAAACGAAGAGUAGAGUUUGGUUUAAGACCGCUGGGGGUAGUGCCGCCACGCUUUCUGGUGAAAGUGAAAAUGACGUGCAUAAUGCGUUUACAAAUUUAUAAUGUAACAAUAUAUUUUAAACAUACAAAUAAUAGAUUUUCAACAAACAAAAUCUAUUCCUAUAUUUGUCAAUAGACAUAUGACCACAUACACCAAACUGAAACGUACAUAAUAUUUUUCGUUGACACACCACUGUCUUUCACAGCUAAGGUUGUUGUUGUUGCUAUCAGUUCCUUCAGUGGAGUCGGUGCUGACAGUUGAAAUAACGACAUCAUCCUGUCGACCUGCUGGAGGAGGCCUAGAUGAACCUCCACCACUUAGCUACGUUUUAUAUCCAUUAAUUUUCAGUUACAAAUAACCAUUACCGUUAAAUGAAUCGUUCUCUUUAAAUACACACCCUUAUGAAAAGAGGCUGCUCAGCUGAAUGAGUCGCUACCCUAAUGUUACGUGACCGCUGGCAGUUGAAAAUUUCUAUUUUCAUAUUUUCUGUGCGAAAGCCAAAUGCUGCACCAAAGCAACAACCAAUCACCACCAACUAGCCUGCAUUUAUUCAAGUGAAUUUAUAAUAUGACAAAAAAUAUUUGAAAUGGCUCUUUAUUAAUUUCGUGAACGUUUAUACGUUUAAUAUCUGAAAAAUAAUUAGAUAUAAAAAUGAAUAUUUUGGCCUGUGGUGGUGGGUGCUGGAGCUUGUGUGGGGGAGCGUGGCGACUCGCUAGGGGGGGCAAUGCCUUCGAAUGCCCCACCUUGACGCCGGCACUGCACAGUGGCUAUAAAAACUCCCACAAUUAGAUGAUAGAAACUUUGUCCUUAGGAACAAAACUAGCUAGCCUGAUUUAUCGCUAAUGAAGAUUUCCAUAUAUGAUAAACCACAAGAUGCCACUGCCUGAGCAUGUCUGUUCAAAUUAACUUAAUUUAGAAUGUCACCAGCCUUAGGAGGCUAGCGAGUUAAUUUACAAGUUCUAGAGCACAGCACUGCUGUUUGCUAGCAGUGCUAUACUGACAUUCAGUGAGCAAUAAAUGCCUAUUUUACUACAUAUACUAAUAGGCAAUUUGUGCCGAUCAUCAAAGCAGCUUCUUUCCUUGGAAUAAAGCGAAGAAUGGCCAUAUACAUACAUACAUAGACAUAGCUAUCCCUCCAUCCAUCCAUCCAUUCCCCUAACUGGCCAUAGGCUAUACAUACAUAGACAUAGCUAUCCCUCCAUCCAUCCAUUCCCCUAACCGCUUAUCCUACUGGGUCGUGGGGGGUCCAGAGCCUAUCCCGGAAGCAAUGGGCACAAGGCAGGGAACAACCCUGGAUGGGGGGCCAGCCCAUUGCAGAGUACACUCACACACCAUUCACUCACACAUGCACACCUACGGGCAAUUUAGCAACUCCAAUUAGCCUCAGCAUUUCUUUGGACUGUGGGGCGAAACCCCAUGACGACAUGGGGAGAACAUGCAAACUCCACACACAUGUGACCCAGGCAGAGACUCGAACCUGGGCCCCAGAGGUGUGAGGCAACAAGUGCUAACCACUGCACCACCAUGCCGCCAUGCGUCAGCAUUGUUUACCUGAGCUUUUUCGAAGGUCAGCUUGGGCUCUGCCAACAACCUCCAUUGCAUACGAUCAUCUGAUAUACUGCACACCAGCCUAUCGCGGAGCACUUCUUUCAAUCUUUCCCCGUAGUUACAACGCUAAGUGAGCUCCCGAAGCACUGCUACAUACUGCAUUACACUUUCACUCGCUGCUCUCAUCCACGAAUUAAACGUAAAUCACUGGACUAUUUCGAUGGGUUUAUGGUUGUAAUAUGCCUGAAACAGCUCCGUCAACUCGGCAUAAGUUUUGUCACCUGGCUUGUCUGAGCUCAGCAAGUUUCUCAUUAGGCUAUAAGUCCAGCUCCCCACUGAGAUCAACAAAAUUGUGCGUUUUUCCCUGUCUCUAUAACCCUAUUUGCCUACUUGAAAAAGUGAUCCAACACUUCACAAUUCUCCUCCUAAGUCUGUGUCUGACUAUCAAAUGGAGUGAGCAUCCCUACCAUAGACGCCGCCAUUGCGCAAUUCGUGUUAGCUUCCUUUCCUGUGAAGAGUAGCCGAGGAUCUGCGCCGUCGAGAGCACUCUUAAGCAACUUCUUAUGUGCUCGCCAGUUUCCUCGUCGGCAAUAUAAUGUAAUAUCUUCGCAAUAAGGACACACGAGCUGCCAAGUAGAACUUGCCUUCUUUACUGAACACCACACACUAUCAACAUCACAGUGUUAUUCUCCCAGCCAUAUACAUAGCUAAUCAUGCUAAUUAACAACGCCUCCAUUGCCACCUACAGGGCACCUGUAACAAUACACUCCAUUUACUACAAUAACUCCGAUAAUAAUAGGCAUGUUCCCCAAUAGAAAAGAAUUACACUUAGUUUGAGCCAUCUGGUCUUUCUUCUGGGAGAAUGUCUUCUGGAUAGAUGAGACCAAGCUAGGGCUUUUUGGUAAAGCUCAUCAUUCUACUGUAGGGCUGCAACAACUAAUCGAUAAAAUCAAUAAUUAUCGAUAAUGAAAUUUGUUGUCAACGAAUGCCGUUAUGGAUUAGUUGGGCUGCUCACGUUACUGAGGAGCGCGACCACAAGAUGCACAAAUACACAAAGAUAUACAAAGAUACACAGCCGCUCGCAAUGGAGGUUACAGAAGCGUCUGCAGGAAAAAGUGUGCGCCCCAAGUCCUCCAAGGUAUGGGAGCAAUUUACAUUAAACGCCUCUAAGAAGACGGUAACCUGCAGGCUAUGCAAGACCGAGCUUUCAUGGCAUGGCAGUACCAUAGUCAUGCACGAACACUUAAAAAGAAAACAUGUCGGUGUUGCGGAUGGCGAAACAUCAGCAGGAAAGAGACAACUCAGCAUGAGUGAGUUCAUUCAAAAAAGAAAUCCCCCAUGCACUCCUCAACAAGCAGCCACUAUAACAGGUGCCAUCCUGAGUAUGUUGGUAACUGACAUGCGGCCAAUGUCAAUGGUGGAAGACGAAGGAUUUAAAAAAAAAAAAAGAUUGGCAUCCGUAAUUCAGGAUACAUACUUCCAUCAAGGACCCACUUCACAAAAUUGAUGGAGAUAAAAGCACCAGGAGGCAUUUGAAAAAGUUAAGUCUGCUUUGAACAUCACCAACAGCAGAAUGGCUUUAACUGCUGAUAUAUGGACAAGUGUUGCCACUGAAGCAUACCGUGGCAUUACAUGCCAUUACAUUGGAAAUGACUGGAAGAUGACAUCUGUCUGCCUUACCACUGGAAGACAGACAUACCGCAAACAACAUUGCAGAAUGGCUGGAAGAAGUAGUAGUCAAAUUUCAAAUCCCUUUUGAGAAAAUUACUGCCCUUGUACAUGACAAUGGUGCAAACAUUGUGGCUGCUGCAAAACCACUGGAGGAGAAACAUGGGUGGACCAGUGUACGCUGCACUGGCCAUACAUUGCAGUUGGUGAUCAAUGCUCCUAUUAAAGGACAAAAACAUUGAAAGAGCUGUUGGAGCUGCAAGAUGUCUGGUAGAGCA